ACCGAGGUCUAUCCCGACGGACCCUCUCCCAUAGGGUCCAGUCGUUGGAAAUGCCUCGCAGAUCAAACCUGUGGUUUCGCUUUACUCACCGGACUAGUUCUGUUAGACCUGUGAGAUAAAACUGCAGAACAUGC